AAUGUGACAGCUAUCGUUUCUCAAUUAAACUUCUGUGGUAUUAAUUUCUUAUUUCACUCAUCACACAUGUUUAUUUUUAGCCUAGAACUUAGAAGGAAAAAACUAAAAACAGGUUCGCAACUAAAUUACAGUUGAUUGACAUAAAUUGUGAGAUAUGGGCAAACGAAAUAAAAAUCGUGAUAAUAUGACGGCUGCCGGUAUGGUUGAAAUUACAAAUUCAAAUACCGAGGAUCAGGAUAAAGUUAUUCAAGAAGAAAAGCAAAAAGAAA